rnacentral:rRNA from 1 species
GACGAACGCUGGCGGCGUGCUUAACACAUGCAAGUCGAACGGAAAGGCCCUGCUUUUGUGGGGUGCUCGAGUGGCGAACGGGUGAGUAACACGUGAGUAACCUGCCCUUGACUUUGGGAUAACUUCAGGAAACUGGGGCUAAUACCGGAUAGGAGCUCCUGCUGCAUGGUGGGGGUUGGAAAGUUUCGGCUGUUGGGGAUGGACUCGCGGCUUAUCAGCUUGUUGGUGGGGUAGUGGCUUACCAAGGCUUUGACGGGUAGCCGGCCUGAGAGGGUGACCGGCCACAUUGGGACUGCGAGACGGCCCAGACUCCUACGGGAGGCAGCAGUGGGGAAUAUUGCACAAUGGGCGGAAGCCUGAUGCAGCAACGCCGCGUGCGGGAUGACGGCCUUCGGGUUGUAAACCGCUUUCGCCUGUGACGAAGCGUGAGUGACGGUAAUGGGUAAAGAAGCACCGGCUAACUACGUG